rnacentral:rRNA from 1 species
AGUGAACGCUGGCGGUAGGCCUAACACAUGCAAGUCGAACGGCAGCACAGUAAGAGCUUGCCCUUACGGGUGGCGAGUGGCGGACGGGUGAGGAAUACAUCGGAAUCUACUUUUUCGUGGGGGAUAACGUAGGGAAACUUACGCUAAUACCGCAUACGACUUACGGGUGAAAGCAGGGGAUCUUCGGACCUUGCGCGAUUGAAUGAGCCGAUGUCGGAUUAGCUAGUUGGCGGGGUAAAGGCCCACCAAGGCGACGAUCCGUAGCUGGUCUGAGAGGAUGAUCAGCCACACUGGAACUGAGACACGGUCCAGACUCCUACGGGAGGCAGCAGUGGGGAAUAUUGGACAAUGGGCGCAAGCCUGAUCCAGCCAUACCGCGUGGGUGAAGAAGGCCUUCGGGUUGUAAAGCCCUUUUGUUGGGAAAGAAAAGCAGCAGGUUAAUACCCCGCUGUUCUGACGGUACCCAAAGAAUAAGCACCGGCUAACUUCGUG